rnacentral:rRNA from 1 species
CGUAGGGAGCAAGCGUUGUCCGGAUUCACUGGGUGUAAAGGGUGCGCAGGCGGAUUUGUAAGUCAGAGGUGAAAUCUCACGGCUUAACCGUGAAACUGCCUUUGAUACUGCAGAUCUUGAGUUUGGGAGAGGUUGAUGGAAUUCCAGGUGUAGCGGUGAAAUGCGUAGAUAUCUGGAAGAACACCAGUGGCGAAGGCGGUCAACUGGCCCAUAACUGACGCUCAGGCACGAAAGCGUGGGUAGCAAACAGGAUUAGAUACCCUGGUAGUCCACGCCUUAAACGAUGAAUACUUGGUGUUGGCUCAUUUGAGUCAGUGCCGUAGGUAACCUGUUAAGUAUUCCACCGUGGGGAGUACGCUCGCGAAGGGUG